GUAACAUUAACACAAGUCUGGAUCUAAGUAACAUCAGGACAGCUUGAAUUUUAACCUGAGCUGGUAAUGAAUCAGGAUAUUAAAUUAAGUGCUACUUGAAGGAUGAAGAUACUACUGAAACUUGUAAUAAAUUUACACAGUCACCAUGUGCUGAACAAUAUAUUUCAUCUUAAUUUAGGCAGCAAUGAGACAGGCUAUGUGCCUUUUAUUGAGAACUUUGAAAUUCAGGUGUUUGUUCUAUGUGUGCAAUUCAAGUAGCAGUAUCAGGAGUCUUUUCCUCCUGGAAGAGUGGAGAUCUGCUGAACAGGAUGUCGAGAGAAUAGAGCUUUGUCGAGCUCACUGGGGACCCUGUGUGCCAUGUGUAUGUCACAAGAUGCAUGUGAAGAGCAGUGACCCAGAAUCAUGUUUCUUCUCUCUUGCCUUUGGGAAAAAAAUAAAAACAAACACCUUGAUGUGCCUGUUAGGUCAAUUUUAUUUUCUGCAGGGAUUCAGCCUGCAGCAUGUGAGCUAA
rnacentral:lncRNA from 1 species